rnacentral:rRNA from 1 species
UACGUAGGGGGCGAGCGUUGGUCCGGAAUCAUUGGGCGUAAAGCGCGUGUAGGCGGCCCGGUAAGUCCGCUGUGAAAGUCCAGGGCUCAACCCUGGGAUGCCGGUGGAUACUGUCGGGCUCGAGUCCGGAAGAGGCGAGUGGAAUCCUGGUGUAGCGGUGAAAUGCGCAGAUAUCAGGAGGAACACCAAUGGCGAAGGCAGCCCCCUGGGCUAACACUGACGCCUCAUGCACGAAAGCGUGGGGAGCAAACAGGAUAGAACCCCGGUAG